UACAGAGGUCUCGAGCGUUAGGCGGAAUCACUGGGCUUAAAGCGUGCGUAGGCGGAUCGGUAAGUACCUUGUGAAAUCCCACAGCUUAACUGUGGAACUGCUUGGUAUACUGCCAGUCUUGAGCCAGCUAGGGGCUACCGGAACAAAUGGUGGAGCGGUGAAAUGCGUAGAUAUCAGGAGGAACACCGGUGGCGAAGGCGGGUCUCUGGGCCGAUACUGACGCUGAGGAGCGAAAGCGUGGGGAGCGAACAGG
rnacentral:rRNA from 1 species